UAGGGAAUCUUCCACAAUGGACGCAAGUCUGAUGGAGCAACGCCGCGUGAGUGAAGAAGGCUUUCGGGUCGUAAAACUCUGUUGUUGGAGAAGAAUGGUCGGCAGAGUAACUGUUGUCGGCGUGACGGUAUCCAACCAGAAAGCCACGGCUAACUACGUGCCAGCAGCCGCGGUAAUACGUAGGUGGCAAGCGUUAUCCGGAUUUAUUGGGCGUAAAGCGAGCGCAGGCGGUUUUUUAAGUCUGAUGUGAAAGCCCUCGGCUUAACCGAGGAAGCGCAUCGGAAACUGGGAAACUUGAGUGCAGAAGAGGACAGUGGAACUCCAUGUGUAGCGGUGAAAUGCGUAGAUAUAUGGAAGAACACCAGUGGCGAAGGCGGCUGUCUGGUCUGUAACUGACGCUGAGGCUCGAAAGCAUGGGUAGCGAACAGGAUUAGAUACCCUGGUAGUCCAUGCCGUAAACGAUGAAUGCUAGG
rnacentral:rRNA from 1 species